ensembl:lncRNA
AACUAUUAGUUUAAUUUCAGUCUAUUUAAAUCUAUAAAUACUUUUUGAUGCAUAAUAAAAGUAAUCUAUAAAACAAAUGACAGAAUUAAAAACAAAUGAAAAAAAUAAAAAGGUUUUUAAAUUUUUUUUUUUUUUUUUUUUUUGGUAAACUGUUUCAUUUUAGUCCAUUUAAGUUUAUUCAGAAUACUUUAUGGCUUAAAAAUUAAUCUAUAAAAUAAGUGACAGAAUUUGCCAAAAAUAUUUUAUGUUUGUUUUAAACUUUAUUUAAUUUUGUUCUAUAUAGACUAUUCUGUUACUUUUUGGUGCUUAAUAAUAUUAAUCAUAGAGUUUUUAAAAAUAAUAUAUAUUGUUUUUUUUUUUUGUGGUAAAUUAUUUGUUUAUGUGUAUUGCAUCUAAUUUAGUACUAUUAAAUUAAUAAUAGAAUCUGUCAAAAAUAAUAACAGUUUUAAUUUUUUUGGUGAGCUGUGUUGACUUGCAUGUGUUAAUAAUUAAAGGAAGAUAAAGCAUGCAGUACGUUUGAAAUAAAUCCACUAACCAGUUGUGUUUCUCUCCUGCUAGGAAGCUGUAUUAGCAUUGCUCAAAGAGGCUUUGACCUGUGAGGUGUGAGAGUCGUGCAGGUAUGGGACAGACGUGGCCUGACCCCCAACAACAGGGCAGCGGGGACACAAUCUGCUCUGAGACCCACUCCUGUGCUCGUCGGUCAUGAUGCAACGGUCACUGAAUGAGAAGCUGCUCUGUGAAGAUGCCGCAGUGUCCCAGGGAGAGAUGGGAAGGAACAAAAGAAAGUUUGCAAAGAAAGGAAGAUGGGAGGAUCGAGAGACAAAAAGAGAAAAUGCACGAUCACUUUGUCAUCUAUUGAAGCUCAUGCAAACACUGCCGGUAAGCACCAUCCCUGUGCAAACAAAACAAACUUUGCUCUGCACACAGCAGCAGUCUUUGUGUUGCUCUGUCUAUUGUCCUCUCUGUGUGUGCUGAUCAUGACUGCACUGUGCCAGGACGACCCAAAAUCCUGCCUUCGCCUGUAGCGCCACUGAGGGACUCUAUUGCAGCUGCACGAUGCCAUCCAACAUGGCAGCCGUUCACUUGCCUGCUGCAGGCCAGCUCAAAAGCUGCUUGGACUUUAUCCUGUGCAUGGCUUUCUGAGCUGGGAUGAGUGCUCCUCAUGGGCCGUCCUGGCAGAUUUGAUGUGCUGGACUCAUAACCCACAGUACAGAGCAGCUUAACAUGACCUAUAAGUAGAACUGAUAUGCACCUUGUAUCUAUAAAUCCAGAUAAGCUGCGCAGACUGACAGGGUUUUAUUGCCAAUAGUCCUCCAGGUCAAGGUUGGCACCUGACAAGUGACAUCCCUCCGGCCUGUUUGAACUCGUGAGGUCCUCCAUGUUAACUGGAAGGGCCGGUCCCAUUCAUUACAAUUAUGGUUUUAAUGUCGUACUUAUAACAGGUUGAAAAAGGAUUUACAUAUAGAGGGUGGCUGAAGAGCAUUUCUAAUCACAGCUGUUGACCUCAAGACUUUUUGUCUCAUAAAUACCUGAAAAUAUGCUAAUAGACUUUAAGAGAUUGUGUGUUAUAAUAAAUAAUUACUCAUAAUUUAAUGAUGUUUAACC